rnacentral:piRNA from 1 species
AACAAGCCUUGUGGGUAGCUUGUG